rnacentral:rRNA from 1 species
GCUUAUGGCCGUACUGUACUGAGUGCAUCUGAUCUCAGAAGCUUAGCAGGGUUGGGCCUGGUUAGUUCUUGGAUGGGAGGGCACCCAGGGAUACCGAGUGCUGUCAGCU